UUAGCGUGGGAGGUUGUGUUAUGGCUUCUGCAUUUAAAAGAAAUCUCCAACAGGUGUGAACACAGCCUGCUGAGUGUGCCUAUCCACACUCCUCCAAAAAACCCAACUGGGCCAAGGCCACUGGGCCUACACCCACUCACAAAGGAAGUUGGUUCAAGAAAGCUUCUGCUAGGACCAGUGGAACAGUAUCAUGCAGGGCAUCAACACGCAGACUGUUCAGGGUGCGGUACCUGCAGUACUCCUUCCCCCGCCCCUCCAAAAAAAACUCAACUUGGCCCAGGCCACUACGCCCACACCCUCGCACAAAGGAAUUUGAUUCCAGACCAAACCACAGAGGGACGGACAGAGAAGUUUGUGAUGUCCAAACCACAGCAGCACCCCUCCACCAGCUGUUCUGGGACCAGACAAUCCCACCCAGACUACCCCCCUUCACCCACCCACCCUGCCAUGGAAUGCAGCAGAACUGGAUCUCCACCUUUGAAAUCUCAAACAACAGCAGAGACCCCAGUGUGUGUUAGGGGAAAUCUCAACAGCAGUGGAGACCCCAGUGUGUGUGUUAGGGGAAAUCUCAACAGCAGUGGAGACCCCAGUGUGUGUUAGGGGAAAUCUCAACAGCAGUGGAGACCCCAGUGUGUGUUAGGGGAAAUUUUGAACAGCAGUAGAGACUCCAGUGUGUGUUCUAAGUGUGUUAUGUGGACUCGCAGUGCUACACAAUUAAAUUAAAUCCUAUAGUACAGCCUAUCCUACAGUACCAGUUUGCUAACUGAUGCCAGGCCAUGAAGCUUGCCUGUGAUUGAAAGAUGACAAACUGAAAAUGUUUGUUUUGCCCAAUCGAGGAUAUUAAAUUUGAAGGAAACUAUUAAGCUAUUAUGACACGGACAUACAAAUGCAAUUGGAUGCCCCAAUAUUCCAUAAACUAUGGCUCUGCCAUGGACAGGGAGUGAUUUCUCAGCAUACUACACCAGACUGUUUUGUGACAGGUGUCUCUAUCCUUUACCUUUUUCUUUACAAGGUGUUUAUCCUGAUUCAUGCAUGUUGUUUUCUAUCAUCAAAAAUCGAAAAAUACGUUUUAAGAUUUGAAUGACUGAAUAAUAUAUUUUUUUUUUAUGCACAUUUGUUUUGUUAUUGCCUAAAGACAACAAACUGGCAAGUGUCACAUUCAACCACCAUGUUACUCCUUUAAUGAAAAAUGCAGCAUAUUCAAGUGAAUAAGGUUUCCUCUUCAGAACCUAAUAGCCAUCUCAAACAUUCAUCAACAGUUUUGGCAGGGUACUGUAAAAACAAGUUUCACCGCUUUGAUGAAGUUAUGAACUUUAUUAUUACCAUUGUAUACACCCAUAUAUGCCGAAAUCUAUAUUGAAGCCACACAUAAAUUAUUACAGUUAUUAGUAUAAAAAUAAAAAUAUUUCAAA